rnacentral:rRNA from 1 species
GAGAAGCUUGCUUCUUGGGUGGCGAGUGGCGAACGGGUGAGUAACAUAUCGGAACGUACCGAGUAAUGGGGGAUAACUAAUCGAAAGAUUAGCUAAUACCGCAUAUUCUCUGAGGAGGAAAGCAGGGGACCUUCGGGCCUUGCGUUAUUCGAGCGGCCGAUAUCUGAUUAGCUAGUUGGUGGGGUAAAGGCCUACCAAGGCGACGAUCAGUAGCGGGUCUGAGAGGAUGAUCCGCCACACUGGGACUGAGACACGGCCCAGACUCCUACGGGAGGCAGCAGUGGGGAAUUUUGGACAAUGGGCGCAAGCCUGAUCCAGCCAUGCCGCGUGUCUGAAGAAGGCCUUCGGGUUGUAAAGGACUUUUGUCAGGGAAGAAAAGGCUGUUGCUAAUACCGACAGCUGAUGACG